rnacentral:rRNA from 1 species
UACGGAGGGUGCAAGCGUUAUCCGGAUUCACUGGGUUUAAAGGGUGCGUAGGUGGCUAUUUAAGUCAGUGGUGAAAGCCCGCGGCUCAACCGUGGAAUUGCCAUUGAAACUGAAUAGCUUGAGUACAGUUGAAGUGGGCGGAAUACAUCAUGUAGCGGUAGAAAUGCUUAGAUAUGAUGUAGAACACCGAUUGCGAAGGCAGCUCACUAAGCUGUAACUGACACUGAGGCACGAAAGCGUGGGUAGCGAACAGG